rnacentral:misc_RNA from 1 species
GAUGAAGAACGUAGCAAAAUGCGAUACUUGGUGUGAAUUGCAGAAUCCCGUGAACCAUCGAGUUUUUGAACGCAAGUUGCGCCCGAAGCCUUUUGGCCGAGGGCACGUCUGCCUGGGCGUCACGCAUCGCGUCGCCCCCCACAAUUCUCCGUAAAAGGAACAUGUGUUUUGGGGGCGGAUAUUGGUCUCCCGUGCUCAUGGCGUGGUUGGCCGAAAUAGGAGUCCUUUCGAUGGACGCACGAACUAGUGGUGGUCGUAAAAACCCUCGGCUUUUGUUUCGUGCUGUUGCUCGCAAGGUAAACUCUUUAAAAACCCCAAUGUGUCGUCUCUUGACGACGCUUCGACCGCGACCCCAGGUCAGGCGGGACUACCCGCUGAGUUUAAGCAUAUCAAUAAGCGGAGGA